rnacentral:tRNA from 1 species
CUGGGAUUAGCGCAGCGGUAGCGCGCACGCCUGGGGGGCGUGAGGUCGCCAGUUCGAUCCUGGUAUCCCAGACCA